AUUGAACGCUGGCGGCAUGCCUUACACAUGCAAGUCGAACGGUAACAGGUCUUCGGAUGCUGACGAGUGGCGAACGGGUGAGUAAUACAUCGGAACGUGCCUAGUAGUGGGGGAUAACUACUCGAAAGAGUGGCUAAUACCGCAUGAGAUCUACGGAUGAAGGCAGGGGAUCGCAAGACCUUGUGCUACUAGAGCGGCCGAUGGCAGAUUAGGUAGUUGGUGGGAUAAAAGCUUACCAAGCCGACGAUCUGUAGCUGGUCUGAGAGGACGAUCAGCCACACUGGGACUGAGACACGGCGCAGACUCCUGCGGGAGGCAGCAGUGGGGAAUUUUGGACAAUGGGCGCAAGCCUGAUUCAGCAAUGCCGCGUGCAGGAUGAAGGCCUUCGGGUUGUAAACUGCUUUUGUACGGAACGAAAAGCCCUGGGUUAAUACCCUGGGGUCAUGACGGUACCGUAAGAAUAAGCACCGGCUAACUACGUGCCAGCCGCCGCGGUAAUAC
rnacentral:rRNA from 1 species